AGCGAACGCUGGCGGCAGGCCUAACACAUGCAAGUCGAACGAACUCUUCGGAGUUAGUGGCGGACGGGUGAGUAACACGUGGGAACGUGCCUUUAGGUUCGGAAUAACUCAGGGAGACUUGUGCUAAUACCGAAUGUGCCCUUCGGGGGAAAGAUUUAUCGCCUUUAGAGCGGCCCGCGUCUGAUUAGCUAGUUGGUGAGGUAAAGGCUCACCAAGGCGACGAUCAGUAGCUGGUCUGAGAGGAUGAUCAGCCACAUUGGGACUGAGACACGGCCCAAACUCCUACGGGAGGCAGCAGUGGGGAAUCUUGCGCAAUGGGCGAAAGCCUGACGCAGCCAUGCCGCGUGAAUGAUGAAGGUCUUAGGAUUGUAAAAUUCUUUCACCGGGGACGAUAAUGACGGUACCCGGAGAAGAAGCCCCGGCUAACUUCGUG
rnacentral:rRNA from 1 species